rnacentral:misc_RNA from 1 species
AACGCAUCUUGCGCCCUUUGGUUACUCCGAAGGGCAUGCCUGUUUGAGAGUCAUUAUUAUUCUCAACUUCAAAGUUUACUUUGAAGCUUGGAUAUGGGGGAUCUUCUAUGCUGGCAACUGGUAUGCUGGCUCCCCUUAAAUGAAUUAGCAGAACCUAAAGUUCUUUAGCUCUGGUUUGAUAAAUGAUAUCUAUGCCAUUGCUGAAGGGAACUGGUUUUCAGCUUCUAAAGUCUUUUUGAAACUUGACCUCAAAUCAGGUAGGACUACCCGCUGAACUUAAGC